AACAUUCAUUGCUGUCGGUGGGUUUCUAAUAGACACAACUCACUGAUCAAUGAAUGCAAA
rnacentral:pre_miRNA from 1 species